CCUACGGGCGGCAGCAGUGAGGAAUAUUGGUCAAUGGACGCGAGCCUGAACCAGCCAUGCCGCGUGCAGGAAGACGGCCCUAUGAGUUGUAAACUGCUUUUGUCGGAGAGUAAACGCAGAUACGCGUAUCUGUCUGCAAGUAUCGUACGAAUAAGGAUCGGCUAACUCCGUGCCAGCAGCCGCGGUAAUACGGAGGAUUCAAGCGUUAUCCGGAUUUAUUGGGGUUAAAGGGUGCGUAGGCGGUCGGGUAAGUUAGAGGUGAAAUUCCGCGGCUCAACUUCGGAAUUGCCUUUGAUACGGUCAGGCUGGAGAGGAGUUGAGGUAGGCGGAAUGUAUGGUGUAGCGGUGAAAUGCUUAGAGAUCACACAGAACACCGAUUGCGAAGGCAGCGUACCAAGCUACGUCUGACGUUGAGGCACGAAAGCGUGGGGAGCAAACAGGAUUAGAUACCCGAGUAGUC
rnacentral:rRNA from 1 species